AACUUGCUGCCUUUUAUACACUCCCUCCUGCAGCUUCAUGGUUUGCUCCUGCAGCUCUUAAGCAGGUGCUUGGGCCUACAACACUCCUUUGCCUCCGCCCCCUGCUGAAGAGACAACCAGGAAGAGGCAGGAUGGCCAGACCCCCCCCUGUGGAACCACUCACAAAGACAGCUAUCAAAUGAUUCACAAAUUAAAUAAACAAUCAAAAUAA